rnacentral:rRNA from 1 species
GACACAGGAAGGCAUCUUCUCUGUGUGGAAAGCUCCGGCGGUGCAGGAUGAGCCCGCGGCCUAUCAGCUUGUUGGUGGGGUGAUGGCCUACCAAGGCGACGACGGGUAGCCGGCCUGAGAGGGCGACCGGCCACACUGGGACUGAGACACGGCCCAGACUCCUACGGGAGGCAGCAGUGGGGAAUAUUGCACAAUGGGCGAAAGCCUGAUGCAGCGACGCCGCGUGAGGGAUGACGGCCUUCGGGUUGUAAACCUCUUUCAGCAGGGAAGAAGCGCAAGUGACGGUACCUGCAGAAGAAGCACCGGCUAACUACGUGCCAGCAGCCGCGGUAAUACGUAGGGUGCGAGCGUUGUCCGGAAUUAUUGGGCGUAAAGAGCUCGUAGGCGGCUUGUCACGUCGGAUGUGAAAGCCCGGGGCUUAACCCCGGGUCUGCAUUCGAUACGGGCAGGCUAGAGUUCGGUAGGGGAGAUCGGAAUUCCUGGUGUAGCGGUGAAAUGCGCAGAUAUCAGGAGGAACACCGGUGGCGAAGGCGGAUCUCUGGGCCGAUACUGACGCUGAGGAGCGAAAGC